rnacentral:rRNA from 1 species
CUGGCUCAGGAUGAACGCUAGCUACAGGCUUAACACAUGCAAGUCGAGGGGCAGCAGGACGAUAGCUUGCUAUUGUUGCUGGCGACCGGCGCACGGGUGAGUAACGCGUAUCCAACCUUCCCCUUAGUAGGGCAUAGCCCGGUGAAAAUCGGAUUAAUACCCUAUGUUGUGUCAUGAGGACAUCUGAAUAACACUAAAGAUUUAUCGCUAAGGGAUGGGGAUGCGUCCGAUUAGGUAGUCGGCGGGGUAACGGCCCACCGAGCCCUCGAUCGGUAGGGGUUCUGAGAGGAAGGUCCCCCACACUGGUACUGAGACACGGACCAGACUCCUACGGGAGGCAGCAGUGAGGAAUAUUGGUCAAUGGGCGUAAGCCUGAACCAGCCAAGUAAGCGUGCAGGAUGACGGCCCUAUGGGUUGUAAACUGCUUUUAUACGGGGAUAAAGUGAGGGACGUGUCCCUUAUUGUAGGUACCGUAUGAAUAAGGACCGGCUAAUUCCGUGCCAGCCGCGGC